UACGAAGGGGGCUAGCGUUGUUCGGAAUUACUGGGCGUAAAGCGAACGUAGGCGGUGUUCCAUGUCAGAGGUGAAAGCCUGGGGCUCAACUCCAGAAUUGCCUUUGAAACGGGAACGCUUGAGUCCGAGAGAGGGUGGCGAAUUCCUAGUGUAGAGGUGAAAUUCGUAGAUAUUAGGAAGAACACCAGUGGCGAAGGCGGCCACCUGGCUCGGUACUGACGCUCAGGUUCGAAAGCGUGGGGAGCAAACAGG
rnacentral:rRNA from 1 species